GACGAACGCUGGCGGCGUGCUUAACACAUGCAAGUCGAACGGAGUGGCGAACGGGUGAGUAACACGUGGGUGAUCUGCCUUGCACUUCGGGAUAAGCUUGGGAAACUGGGUCUAAUACCGGAUAGUGCAAGAUGAGCUCGCGGCCUAUCAGCUUGUUGGUGGGGUAAUUGCCUACCAAGGCGUCGACGGGUAGCCGGCCUGAGAGGGUGUACGGGCACAUUGGGACUGAUAUAGGGCCCAGAAGCGUACGGGGGGCAGCGGUGGGGAAUAUUGCACAAUGGGCGGGAGCCUGAUGCAGCGACGCAGGGUGGGGGAUGAAGGCCUUCGGGUUGUAAACUCCUUUCGAAAGGAACGCGGUACCUAUAUAAAAAGCACCGGCUAACUACGUGCCAGCAGCCGCGGUAAUAC
rnacentral:rRNA from 1 species